GAUGAACGCUGGCGGCGUGCCUAAUACAUGCAAGUCGAGCGAACAGACGAGGAGCUUGCUCCUCUGACGUUAGCGGCGGACGGGUGAGUCACACGUGUAUACCCUACCUAUAAGACUGGGAUAACUUCGGGAAACCGGCGCUAAUACCGGAUAAUAUAUUGAACCGCAUGGUUCAAUAGUGAAAGACGGUUUUGCUGUCACUUAUAGAUGGAUCCGCGCCGCAUUAGCUAGUUGGUAAGGUAACGGCUUACCAAGGCAACGCUGCGUAGCCGACCUGAGAGGGUGAGUAGCCAACCUGGAACUGAGACACGGUCCAGACGCAUACGGGAGGCAGCAGUAGGGAAUCGUGAGGAAGGGGCGAAAGACUGAGGGAGAAAGGCCGCGUGAGGGAGGAAGGUCGUCGGAUCGUAAAACACUGUUAUUAGGGAGGAACAAAUGUGUAAGUAACAAUGCACGUGUUGACGGUACCUAAGCAGAAAGCCACGGCUAACUAAGUG
rnacentral:rRNA from 1 species